AGUGGUUCAUCAGCUCUUACAGUAUAUGGUAGAAAUCACUGCUGCAGCUUCUGGAUCAUUUUUUACAUCCCAGUUAAAUUCAGAAUCAGCCGCAUCCAUAACCAUAUCCACCAUUUUAUCUGUGUUCAUCUCCUGCUCGGUUCUAACUCUUGCAACUUUCACUCACGUCUCUCCAUGCAGAUACCAAUACUUAUAGUUGGGCAUAAAUCUACUAUUAUACAAAUGGAUGGUAAUUAUAUUCCUAUCAAAUAUUUCUCUAUUGCCAUAUCUGUCACAAGGGCAACGAGCCCAUCCUUAAUGUAAG
rnacentral:lncRNA from 1 species